rnacentral:rRNA from 1 species
CCUACGGGAGGCUGCAGUGGGGAAUAUUGGACAAUGGGGGGAACCCUGAUCCAGCCAUGCCGCGUGUGUGAAGAAGGCCCUCGGGUUGUAAAGCACUUUCAGUGAGGAAGAACGCCUGGUGGUUAAUACCCAUCAGGAAAGACAUCACUCACAGAAGAAGCACCGGCUAACUCCUUGCCAGCAGCCGCGGUAAUACGGAGGGUGCGAGCGUUAAUCGGAAUUACUGGGCGUAAAGCGCGCGUAGGUGGCUUGAUAAGCCGGUUGUGAAAGCCCCGGGCUCAACCUGGGAACGGCAUCCGGAACUGUCAAGCUAGAGUGCAGGAGAGGAAGGUAGAAUUCCCGGUGUAGCGGUGAAAUGCGUAGAGAUCGGGAGGAAUACCAGUGGCGAAGGCGGCCUUCUGGACUGACACUGACACUGAGGUGCGAAAGCGUGGGUAGCAAACAGGAUUAGAUACCCUUGUAGUC